rnacentral:lncRNA from 1 species
CAUAUAUGUUAUUAUUCUUAUGGCAGUUUUGAUGUUUUACGUACUGAUGGAGUUCCAGUUUUGAUUAUUUUGGACUAACUCAUCCAUAGUUUGUGCUGAAAAGAAAGAAACACUAUCAUGAAGAAAAAGAAAGAAAACAAAAAAUAACAAAAAAAGAGGCCUUCACUAUUCGGUACGUGUUCACUUGAAAUUUUCAUUGAAGAGAAAAUGCAUAUAUAAUUAAAUUCCAAAGCCCAACGAAGUACAAUCUAAAAAAAAAAAAAAACCUAAGAACUAAUGAUGGAAGCUUGAAAUUCUCAUCCAUGUUCCAUCUGUCUAGGCCUAGUUUGCUCGCUUUCUGCCUGAGACAUGUAAAAACAAGCCAUGGGGGGUUAAAUCUAACAAUCCAUGCAGAAUGUGCAAUCCAAUUUAUGGAGUCCUUCAAGUCCAAGUAGUCUCUACUGCCAGGUUUUGGAGGAUUAAUUAGGCAUUGUCACCUUCAGCAUGCAACUGUGUAGUGUCGAUGGUAUUCCUGAAAGAUUCUAGAAUGAUGAGAGCUUAUGAAUCACGAGUACAGAGCCACACCACCUUGCAGCGGCCGAAUCUUGUAAGGAAAUCCAUCAGUGCAUAAAAAUUUGUCGAGUUUGACAAGAACCAUUCUUCAUCCCAAAGUUCUGAUACCGAAAUAAUGGAUUCCUAAUGUAUGGAAUUGUGUUAUAAUAGAAACUUUGGCUUCCAAUAAACCGUUAGAAUACAAAAGGAUCGAGAUUUUGGGUAUUGAUGGUGGCCUUGAGUUCACGAUGGCAUUGCAAGUGUAGUUGCCCGAGAUGGUCAACACAGAUGUCGAUCGUUUUCAACUUAGUGGCAUCGAACACCGCUACACGCCUACACCUUCACAUUCUGGUAAAACACAUGUAAGAGAUUUGAGAUGUUAGAAAAUUUGGGUCACCCUCUGAAUUCCCUAGCCCAAGACCGAAACUGAAUGAAAACAAUAACCAGAAACAAUGUAACACGAACACAAGAUAUUUAACGAGGUUCAAUCAAAUCCACAUGACAUACGUCCUCGGGUGAUGAUGAUGGAUCCACUAAACGAGAAGAAGAUUAUAACUGAAGAACAAUUUGGUUCUUCCACCCUCAAAUAAUAUUUCUCCUCACACUCUAGACUCUCAAAUACAUCUGAUCUCACAUGGCUUGCAACUCUCAAGAUCAGAACUCUCAAAUGAUCUACAUCACACCACACCUAAAACUAUGUCUCUAAGGUCCUAUUUAUAGAUUCACAAUUAGUCCAACUUACAAUAGGAUUGAGAACCAUAGCAGGAUUCCUAAAUCUUUACUCCUAAGGAUAAACUCCAAGAAUCUUAGAUACACUAGAAUAUCUCACCCAAAGCCUUAAGAAGUAAAGAAUCCAAAGCAUACAAAGAAUCAGUUUUGAGUCGUAACCCUAAAAAUUUUCCUUCGGCUCAAAAUUUUCAUCCUUCCUUUAAACGCAAGCUUUCUUGGGCCUUCUCAACUAGCCACGAUUACCACCACACCUCAAUGCGCUACAUGGCGCUCUCAACAGCAAGACGAGUUAGCCAAGUUUGAGAAACACUCAAACUUAACCCUUGGACACGAACAUUUUCCUUCAAACAUGCACAACGCGGCCACUUGCAUGCAAUCCAAGUCUCCACUAAAGUUGCCAAACCUAAUGGGAGCGAUCUUUAAUGGUUUGCACAACUCACCACGAGCAACAUUCCUCUGAACAUAUUCUCCACCAUAAAUGGUACCUUCUCUAGACACAUCACUCUUAAAACACUAAGUUUACUUCUAAACUUUCUCACCAGGUGACACCUCAAUUGUGGAAUAUGCAUGAGGUAGUAUACUUGUGUCGGGAUUCUUAUGGGUCUGCCUCUCUUUAAGGAUUGCUGCAAUGUUGGUUGCUCCUCAAAUUUCACAUUCUUAGAAGCAAAUUUCGUUCCUCCGCAUUUACUAUUGCUCACCUCCUAAGACCAUCGUCGAUUCUUCUUCCAUGGACAAUUUCUUUUUCCUUUGUAAUCUUUUACUAUCGAACCAUGUUUCUUUUGUGUGAUUUUGCAGCUAUGCUUGGCUAAACUCUUUUGUUAGGGGUGGAGGUUUGAAGCCCCAAAUUAUGCAGUAAACCUUGAUUUCAUAAUUGCUUAGUUGUGAAUUGUCUAUUUGGUUUUGGUUUACAAAUAUCUCUUGCUUGUUUAUGUUCAUGGAUGCAUACAUAUAAUAUUAUGAACUUGUGAGUGAGGCUAGAAUUAGGUAGUUUAAUCUUCUAAACGGUUCAUAUGGCUUAAUUCAAAGUAGUAAAACUUAUGGGACGAUAUGUGAAACCAAAUAGAGAAACUUGCAUGCUAGGUAGACGUUCCACACUAGUUUUGUAUACUUGUUUAAUCAAACUUUCAUUGAUCUUAAUGCUUGGAAUAAUUUGUUGAUGGGAUAGCGUAUAUACCUUGAUUGAUUAUUCUAAAGGUUUGGUAACGAUGCGUUCAUCUUGCUUAAGUAGUUAAGGAAAAUAGUAAGAAUUUAUGCAGUGCAUUCACGGUUUUUCUUAAACUAUCAAUAUGAAAAUAUUUAAUCAAGAAUAAACUGUGAACGCACCGCAUAAAUUAUUAGAGUGCGGCUAUUGGGACCUUCAAAUUUGCUCAGUAUACUUCUCAUUCUCUCUACACCUAUUUUUUACUUUUCAAUAUAAGUAUUUUCUCACUAGACCUCAUUUCAAAUUUCUAAUAUAACCUUAGUUAUUUAUUGACAUAUAUUUCAAUUAAUUACUUACUUUAACUCUUAUUCACUCAAAAGACCUCUCAUUUGUUUUUCUUUUUUUACCUUUUUGUUUUUGAACAUCCAUUAUCCCUACCUUCAUUUUUUGAUUAUUUUUUUCAUGCAAGAAAAUGUUUUAUCAUGAAUUAUUCUAUAUAUCUUUUUAACUUUUAUUUUUCUUUUUUGUACGUCAUAAUAAAUUAUUUUAAUAAAUAUAUAUUUUCUAUAAUCAAUAUAUAUAUAUUUUACAAAAAUAUUUGUGCACCUUGCAAGUAUAUGCGUUUAACAUGUAUGAUAAUGCAAAAUUUUAUGUCACAUGAUCGAUAUUUGAUCAUUGUUUUAGUUUCUUUUGAACUAUAUAUGUAUAUAUACAUAUAUAUAUAUAUAUAUAUAUAUAAAUAUUAUAUAUAUGCUUUAAUAAAAAGAAAUUAGAAAACGAAAAUAUAUAAGGAAAAUAAUAAAGAAUGUAAUCAAUUAUUAUUAAAUUGGAAAGUCUAGAGAGAAUAAAUAUAAUAUUUCCUUUUGUAUAAUUAUUGUCCUUAAUAGUCAUUGUGUAUGAGGAUAUAUAUGUCAUUUAAUAAUUCACAAUCGAGUGAGGUCUAGUGAGCAAAUUUAGAGGUCCCAAUAGCCGCACUCAAAUUAUUACUACUUCCUUUAACUACUUAAGCAAGAUGAACACAUCGUUACCAAACCUUUAGAAUAAUCGAUCAAGGUAUAGACACUAUCCUAUCAACAAAUUAUUCCAAGCGCACAUUAAGAUCAAUGCAAGUUUGAUUGAACAAGUAUGCAAAACUAGUGUGGAACGCCUACCUAACAUGCAAGUCUCUCUAUUUGGUUUCACUUAUCGUCCCAUUGGUUUUACUACUUUGAAUUAAGCUAUAUUAACCGUUUAAAAGAUUAAACUACCUAAUUAUAGCCUCACUCACAAGUUCGUAAUGUUCUAUGUAUGCAUCCAUGAACAUAAACAAGCAAAAGAUAUAUGUAAACCAAAAAUAAAUAGACAAUUCACAACUAAGCAAUUAUGAAAUCAAGGUUGUGAAAUAAGAUUUAUUGCAUAAUUUGGGGCUUCAAACCUCCACCCCUAACAAAAGAGUUUAGCCAAGCAUGACUACAAAAUCAUAACAAAAAAACAUGGUUCGAAAGUAAAAGAUUACAAAGGAAAAAGAAACCGUGGAUGGAAGAAGAAUCGACGAUGGUCUUGGCAGGAAUCAACAUUUACGAUCCAUCAUCUCAAGAUCAUAAAUGUCAAUCGAUCUACACCACACCUAAAACUAUGUUUCUAAGGUCCUAUUUAUAGACUCAUUACGAUCCAUCAUCUCAGAUCAUAAAUGUCAAUUGAUCUACACCACACCUAAAACUAUGUCUCUAACGUCCUAUUUAUAGACUCAUAAUUAGUCUGACUUAUAAUAGGAUUUAGAACCAUAUCAUGAAUCGAUCCUAAACCUUUACUCCUAAGGAUAAACUUCAAGAAUUCUAGAUACACUAGAAUAACUUAACCAAAAUUUACAAAAGUAAAAAAUCUAAAGCAUACAAGGAAUCAGUUUUGAGUCGUAACCUAAUAUGAGAUUCAUAGCUUCUUCGACACAAACAAUCAUGAGCUCCUCACAAUCCUUAAUUUCCAAGCACUUCAGACUUGAACUUUUCACAAAACAUCUAUGGUCAUGCUGGUACUUAAAAGAACAUGCAGUUAAUGACAAGUACUCGAUGGAAGAGGACUCCCUUAGUAGAGGGAAGAAACUAUAUGCAUAGAGUAUCACAGCUGUGAGGAACACGGUUUUCAAAGAGAGGAGAAUGGUGUGAUAUAUAUGAGGUUCAAUUUUGUAUCGAAUGUCCCAGAUGGUCACAUACUCCAAUUUUAGACUUGUACGUUAAAGAUUUCACAUUAACAAAGGUCCUCCAUUGUAUACAGUACUGGCAGGGGUUGUCGGAAUUCUCCACUGUGACCGGGCGCUGAUUAAGCAUAUCAUCCUCUUCGUAUUAGUCCCUACCGAAAAUUGGACUUUAAUUGAGUUGAAGUGAGGCCGUUUUUAUAGUUGAAAUGAUUGUUCAAAUUUGGCCUCAAUCAAACGUGUUUGUAAAACUUUAGCCCUCCAUAAAACUUUUUUGUAACAGACCAUUGCCAUGAUUGGAGAUGAGUUUUGUGCAAUUAUGGGAGAUGAGUUUUGUGCAAUUAUGGGCUUUGGAUCUUCUAUUGGAGAACGCUUAACAAGCUAAUAUUAAACUCUACAACACCUAAGAUUUUUUUUUAAAAACUGGGCUCCGGUUCAUUAGACGCUUUAUUUUAUCCAAAUUUUUACAUUAUCUUUAAGUUAUUAGAUACUUUAAAUGGUCUACAUUGGUUUCAAGUAUGACAUGGCAAAUGAUAUGAAAUCAAUAUAUAUAUAUAUAUAUAUAUAUAUGAAAUCAAUAUAUAUAUAUAUAUAUAUAUGCAGUUCCAACCCAAAAAAUGAAAGAAAAUAAGAUCUAAUAAAUUGAUUUUAGGAAAACUUAAAAUUUAGUUAAGUUUUAAAGGUAAAAGUUUAAAAAUUUUUUUUUUAAAAAAAGUUAAAUAGUAACGUUACUAUCUUCUGUAGUGUAUAACGUUUCUUACUUAAACUAAUUGUGAGGACAUUGCAGGUCAUCAUGCACGCCAUAUUCUUCUAUUUCUUUCUUUCGAGUGUAAUAAAAUACAAUAUCCUCAAUUGUUCCCUUUUCGUUUCCUACUCAAUACCUAACUAGUAAUUAGUAUAAGCUUCUAUAUAUAUAUGUGUAUAUAUAUAUAUAUAUAUAUAUAUUCCUUUUAGGUCUUUAUUGGUUUUCAUAUACCCCUCUUAUUUCUUUUAGGGCAAAAUCACAACAUAUCAUUCAUUCUAUAUGAAAACAAUUAUGUGGCUUUUAUUUUUCUCUCUCAAUCUCAAUAAUUUUUAUUGAAUAUCGUCAGAAUAUGCUUUCAAUUUCAAAAUUAUCGUUAUAUCAUUGACGCAAUCUACUUGAAUAAUAUUGUAUAAACUUGGGGAGAGAGAGAGAGAGAUUUCCUCUUUUCUAAGUAUAAGAAGAAGAAGAAAACAUCAUUCAUGUAUCUUUUAAUUUUUAUUUGUCAACAUAAAAUCUUUAUCAUUUAUGUAUUAGCUUCAAUUUUUUUAGAAGAAAACAUCAUUCAUGUAUCUUUUAAUUUUUAUUUGUCAACAUAAAAUCUUUAUCAUUUAUGUAUUAGCUUCAAUUUUUUUUUAUCAGUUAAACAACUCAAAUGUAACGAGUAUUUUGUGACUCAAACUCAUAGCCUCCCACUUAUAAAAAUGAGACUAUACCGUUAGACUAAAUGAUACUUGACAUAUUCAAAAAAAAUUUGAAAAAAAAUUGAUUUCAUGUUGUUUGAUUAAUCUAAACCAUUCAAAGUACUUUAAUCCAAUGACUGAAAAAUAAUGUAAAGUUUGUGCAAAAUAAAGUGUUCCUUAAAACCAGACCCAAAAUUAAUAGUGAAAGAGUGUAAUAAUUGCGAUUUCUAGCAUAACUAUGUCAACCACCAAGAAUCAAGAUUCAAGCCGAAUGAUUCAUUGUUAAUUUUUCUCAACCCAACCCAAUGUGUCGACAACCGACACCAGAUCUACGUACAGGGGAUUCCAAUGGUGGGAAGGGCCCCCAUUCUGGCCGAGAACUCCCCAAGGAGCUCUCGGUAGCCACUGUUUCUCAAUGGUGGCUAUUGGAGCACCUAUGGCUCUUCUGGCUGGUGACUGUAGUCGCCGUUAUCACCAUCAUAGCUGGUGUUUGCAGAUAUUUCAAUAACAUAAUCAAUGAGCUCAAGAUUUGUUUGACUUGUUUGUGGGGUGACGAGGACGAGGAGGUAAGACCAUUGCAACCACAGCCGCAGAUUUGUACAUCCAAAGCGUUAAGGUAAACUUCAUAACAAACAUAAACUCAGCGGUGCAACGAAUCAACUCCUGCGGUAACUCUAUGAGGAGGGGUACUGUCACUCCCGUGAGGUAAGGAGCCAGUUCUACUGUGGAUAAAGCCGAGAACUCUGAACGCCAAGUUGGAACCAGCAGAAGAUCGUUGAUCUUUUCAGGGAUAUAAGAAGUUGAGAGAGUGUCCCCGAAUAUUGCUCUUGCUAAAAUCUAUUACGAGUCCACUAUGUGGUAAAAUAGUAACAUCAUCUGUGAUUAUUAUCUUUUUUUAUAUUGUUAUUUGUUAUUAAUUUUUUGCUAACAUCAUCUAUGGAAGAAACUUAAUGAGGUGAGACUUGAGAUUUUGAGAGUACCUUUAGAAAAAAAUUCUGUAAUUACACAAGCAGAAUUACUACUUAAAAAAAAAAACCCAAGGAUGUUUGAACUUCCUGUCUUGAUGAAGCAUUCUUUGGUUUCACCAGGCAACUGCAAUUGUGGAAUAUGCAUGAGGUAACAUACUCGUGUCGGGAUCCAUACGGGUCUGCCUCAUUUUAAGGAUUGCUACAAUGUUGGUUGCUCCUCAAAUUUCACCUUCUUAGAAGCAAAUUCGUUCCUCCGCAUUUACUAUUGCUCACCUCCUAAGACCAUCGUCGAUUCUUCUUCCAUGAACAAUUUCUUUUUCCUUUGUAAUCUUUUACUUUCGAACCAUGUUUCUUUUGUGUGAUUUUGCAGCUAUGCUUGGCUAAACUCUUUUGUUAGGGGUGGAGGUUUGAAACCCCAAAUUAUGCAAUAAACCUUAAUUUCAUAAUUGCUUAGUUGUGAAUUGUCUAUUUGGUUUUGGUUUACAAAUAUCUCUUGCUUGUUUAUGUUCAUGGAUGCAUACAUAGAACAUUAUGAACUUGUGAGUGAGGCUAGAAUUAGGUAGUUUAAUCUUCUAAACGGUUCAUAUGACUUAAUUCAAAGUAGUAAAAUCUAUGGGACGAUAGGUGAAACCAAAUAGAGAAACUUGCAUUCUAGGUAGACGUUUCACACUAGUUUUGCAUACUUGUUCAAUCAAACUUUCAUUGAUCUUAAUGCUUGGAAUAAUUUGUUGAUGGGAUAGCGUAUAUACCUUGAUUGAUUAUUUUAAAGGUUUGGUAACGAUGCGUUCAUCUUGCUUAAGUAGUUAAAUGAAAUAGUAAGAAUUUAUAUNNNNNNNNNNNNNNNNNNNNNNNNNNNNNNNNNNNNNNNNNNNNNNNNNNNNNNNNNNNNNNNNNNNNNNNNNNNNNNNCACUAUCAACAUGAAAAUGUUCAAUCCAGAAUAAACCGUGAACGCACUGCAUAAAUUCUUACUACUUCCUUUAACUACUUAAGCAAGAUGAACACAUCAUUAUCAAGCCUUUAGAAUUAUCGAUCAAGGUAUAUAUACUAUCCUAUCAACAAAUUAUUCCAAGCAUUAAGAUCAAUGCAAGUAUGAUUGAACAAAUAUGCAAAACUAGUGUGGAACGCCUACCUAGCAUGCAAGUCUCUCUAUUUGGUUUCACCUAUCAUCUCAUAGGUUUUUACUACUUUGAAUUAAGCCAUAUUAACUGUUUAGAAGAUUAAACUGCUAAUUUUAGCCACACUCGCAAGUUCGUAAUGUUUUAUAUAUGCAUCCAUGAACAUAAACAAACAAGAGAUAUCUGUAAACUAAAACCAAAUAAACAAUUCACAACUAAGCAAUUAUGAAAUCAAGGUUGUGAAACAAGGUUUAUUGCAUAAUUUGGGGCUUCAAACCUCUACCCCUAACAAAAGAGUUUAGCCAAGUAUGACUGCAAAAUCACAAAAAAAAACAUGGUUCGAAAGUAAAAGAUUACAAAGGAAAGAGAAACCGUGGAUGGAAGAAGAAUCGACGAUGGUCUUGGCAGGAAUCAACAUUUACAAUCCAUCAUCUCAAGAUCAUAACUGUCAAUUGAUCUACACCACACCUAAAACUAUGUCUCUAAGAUCCUAUUUAUAGACUCAUAAUUAGUCCGACUUACAAUAGGAUUUAGAACCAUAUCAUGAAUCGAUCAUAAACCUUUACUCCUAAGGAUAAACUCCAAGAAUCCUAGAUAGACUAGAAUAACUUACCAAAAACCUUCCGAAGUAAAGAAUCCAAAACAUACCAGAAAUGAUCCCAAUAUGUCGACGGCCAUUGAUGUUCUGGUUAUGUGGUUCAUGUAUGUAAUUCACUGUUUGUGUUUCGUCUCCUUUCUGAUUGAUGCUGCUAUUUGGGCUUGAUAUUUGGGCCGUCUUAAUUAGACCCGAAACCCGAAUCCAAAGAAAACCCGUAUCCAUAACCCACUAAGCCAACAACGUACAAGAGAGAGAGAAGCGGAGAAGAAACACUAAACAAAGAAAGCAUCUCCGUUUUGCCCGAACCCUUUCUCCUCCUCCUUGGUUUUCAGAUCACCCUGAAAACCCUAAAUUUCUCAUGAAAAACCCUACAAUUACGACAUUGCCCCUCCCCUCCUCCUCUCUCUGAUUCACCUCGCCGGCGCUGCUGCUCAACUCAACUCUCCGACGACCAUGUCUCUCCCGCCCGUAGAGCGUGCACACAUCAACGAGGAUCACCUCCGUGAAUGGAAGACCGGAAACCCUAGCUUCAAGCUACCGGAGCCUGUUCCGAUGCUCCGGUUCCUCUACGAGCUCUGCUCCACCAUGGUGAGAGCUCAGAAACGCUUUUCCUUUCUUUCGAUAUACGAUUAUGUGAACGGAGGAGCUUUUUGGAUUGAUGAAUUUGAAUUGCUGCCGUCAGGUUCGUGGAGAAUUGCCGGUUCAGAAGUGUAGAGCGGCUCUGGAUUCGGUGGAGUUUUCUGAAAAGGUUUCCGAGCAAGAGCUGGCUUCAAGCUUGGCUGAUAUUGUUACUCAAAUGUCUCAAGAUGUGAGUUUGUUGUAAUUUGCUUUUCAUGCUUGGAAUUUGUUGAAUGCGUUUGUUUUCGGUGAGGUUUUGCAUUCAGUUGCUGUAAUCAGAUUGAGCUGUGAUAUUACAUAUUGGAGAAAUGUGUAUGGAAAUGGUUUAGGAUAAUGAGUAAUUUUAAUCAGAGCGUGGCAAUUGCAUGCUCUCAAGCAACCAGUAGGAAGUAGAAUGGUCUUAAGAUUGCUUCAUGCGGUGCCUCUGUACAUGCUUUCAAUGUAGAUUUUAUGUUCCGAGCAUACUAGUUUUUAUUAAUUUUUGAUGUCACUAACCUGCUUAUGCUGUUGUUUGUCUUCCUAUUCUUACUGACACUUAGAUGUUCAUUAACUUGCAGCUUACCAUGCCUGGAGAGCAUCGAGCUCGUCUCACAAAGCUGGUUAGUUCUUGGUUUUAAAAGUCACUAGAUUUGAAAAACAGGCCUUCAACUUAGUUACUGGUGUUCAUUGUCCUCUUGCCACUUCAUUCUAGUAAAGUGGAACAAUCUUAUCCUUUUCAUAUAAUUGACGAUGCAUAGUAAAGACUGAAAGUUCUUUUCUAUUUGUCCACACUGCACAUUCUCUUUUACUUUUUUGAUU